UGAACAAAUGAUCUUCAAAUGCCCAGUGG
rnacentral:piRNA from 1 species